CAGCCUAGUGUGACCCGUGCUUUAGGUUUACAUUGAUAUAAGUCGCAAUUUGGAAACGACCACUGAUCGAAUAUAGGUAAGUUGCUGGCAAUUUCGGUGAAGGAGACGAAUUACUUCACUCAGUUGAGUCGAGGGAGAGACUGCGCUAGAGGAAAAAAGAACAAGUGGCUGCUGCAGGAUGCGGACAUUGCAAAAAUUCAAGAAAAAAUCAACAACCAUAUAAUAUCAAUGGCAGAGUUUUUAUCCGCUGCGACUCACAAAAUAUUAACUCUUGUGGAAUCGUACCAGCCGACGCUGACGAUGAGAUAGAGAUGCAGAAUUUACUACCAGUCAUGGAGCUCAAGCCUCAAAUCACAGUGACGGUCCCUGAAGCCCUUCCCACCUCGCUGUACAACGACUAUCAGUGGAAUCCGGUCCAGCUGUCGAGCUCAUGUCAUCAGCUGUGUGCUGAGGAGUUCAUGUCCUUGGAGGACAUAAGAAAACAACGUGAAGGCCUCAUGCGAUGUUUACGGCAGGAUCCUGAUGAAA